rnacentral:rRNA from 1 species
GACGAACGCUGGCGGCAUGCUUAACACAUGCAAGUCGAACGGAAAGGCCCUGCUUUUGUGGGGUGCUCGAGUGGCGAACGGGUGAGUAACACGUGAGUAACCUGCCCUUGACUUUGGGAUAACUUCAGGAAACUGGGGCUAAUACCGGAUAGGAGCUCCUGCUGCAUGGUGGGGGUUGGAAAGUUUCGGCGGUUGGGGAUGGACUCGCGGCUUAUCAGCUUGUUGGUGGGGUAGUGGCUUACCAAGGCUUUGACGGGUAGCCGGCCUGAGAGGGUGACCGGCCACAUUGGGACUGAGAUACGGCCCAGACUCCUACGGGAGGCAGCAGUGGGGAAUAUUGCACAAUGGGCGGAAGCCUGAUGCAGCAACGCCGCGUGCGGGAUGACGGCCUUCGGGUUGUAAACCGCUUUCGCCUGUGACGAAGCGUGAGUGACGGUAAUGGGUAAAGAAGCACCGGCUAACUACGUGCCAGCAGCCGCGGUGAUACGUAGGGUGCGAGCGUUGUCCGGAUUUAUUGGGCGUAAAGGGCUCGUAGGUGGUUGAUCGCGUCGGAAGUGUAAUCUUGGGGCUUAACCCUGAGCGUGCUUUCGAUACGGGUUGACUUGAGGAAGGUAGGGGAGAAUGGAAUUCCUGGUGGAGCGGUGGAAUGCGCAGAUAUCAGGAGGAACGCCAGUGGCGAAGGCGGUUCUCUGGGCCUUUCCUGACGCUGAGGAGCGAAAGCGUGGGGAGCGAACAGGCUUAGAUACCCUGGUAGUCCACGCUGUAAACGGUGGGUACUAGGUGUGGGGUCCAUUCCACGGGUUCCGUGCCGUAGCUAACGCUUUAAGUACCCCGCCUGGGGAGUACGGCCGCAAGGCUAAAACUCAAAGGAAUUGACGGGGCCCCGCACAAGCGGCGGAGCAUGCGGAUUAAUUCGAUGCAACGCGUAGAACCUUACCUGGGUUUGACAUGGAUCGGGAGCGCUCAGAGAUGGGUGUGCCUCUUUUGGGGUCGGUUCACAGGUGGUGCAUGGCUGUCGUCAGCUCGUGUCGUGAGAUGUUGGGUUAAGUCCCGCAACGAGCGCAACCCUUGUUCACUGUUGCCAGCACGUUAUGGUGGGGACUCAGUGGAGACCGCCGGGGUCAACUCGGAGGAAGGUGGGGAUGACGUCAAGUCAUCAUGCCCCUUAUGUCCAGGGCUUCACGCAUGCUACAAUGGCUGGUACAGAGAGUGGCGAGCCUGUGAGGGUGAGCGAAUCUCGGAAAGCCGGUCUCAGUUCGGAUUGGGGUCUGCAACUCGACCUCAUGAAGUCGGAGUCGCUAGUAAUCGCAGAUCAGCAACGCUGCGGUGAAUACGUUCCCGGGGCU